GGCUGGUCCAAGUGCAGUGAUGUUUACAACUAAUUGAUCACAUUCAGUUACAGAUUUAUUUGUUCCUUCUCCAUUCCCACUGCUUCACUUGACUAGCCUUCA
rnacentral:Y_RNA from 1 species